rnacentral:lncRNA from 1 species
AAAACAUUUAAGAGGAGAGAAAAUUACAGUUGGGCUUACAAACAAACAUCAAACCUUAUCAUUAAUUUCCCCCCCUAAAAUUGUUGUUUUCCUCUUUUCGGUUGAGGGUUGGCUUGUUCCAACGUGGCAUGGGAUGCGUAAAAACCUAAAAUUGGAGUAUGACAAACACCUCAGUUCAUAAUUGUAUUAGUGAAAUUGUAGUAGUAGGAGUCUCUGGCAUGUCGGUGAGGAGGACAUGGAUGAACUUCCAGGGACUAUGGGUACUAGUGCUAGCCUGGCUUUGAGAUUAGGACAAGCUGCUUUCUCCGUUGCUUCACUGCUUUUCAUGUGUUUGGAUAUUCCUUUUUACAGCUUCACUUCUUUCUGGUAAUGGGUUCCCUUUUUUUUUUUUUUUUUAAUUGUUUCUUUGAUUCUUGAUUUUUUCUUCUUUUUGGGAGAAUUCUGAUUGGUAAAGUUCGAUGCUUUCUGUGUUGAUUUGUUUAUAUAUUUCCUUAUGCAUUUUGAUAAAGUUUUGUAAUCUUGAAACUGAAGUUGAUUGGAUUAUAGAAGAUUUGCGUUACCUAUUUAUAGCCUUGAAUUUUUGACCUAGCGGUGGAAUUUCUGUUGAUCAUUUCUUAACAAGUUGGUAUUUUUUAUUUGCUUGGUGGGUGGAGAAAACUAGUUUGCUAGCUCAGUUGUUCCUUCAUAUAGAAUGUGAAUUGAGGUAAGAGUAGAUUGAUAAUGCUGUAUUCAUUUGGGAACUUCAACCGUACAUCUGUUUAAAACUAGACAAGAGGAAUGAAAAUUGAAUAUUAUGUGGAGCCAUUUCAGUUGGAAGGCUGCGGGGCGUCACUUUCUUUAGCUGCUCCCAGAGACAUCUACUAUGAAGUAUGAAUUUAUUUCCUAAAGAGCCAAGCAGUUGUUAUGUUAUGAUAAGUUGAUGGUGGCAAAUUGAGUGACGGCGUAUUGCCUUUUAAAUUGACUAGCUAGAAGAAACUAUAAAAUAGAUAUGGAGUAGGUUUAUAAGGAUUGGAGGAGAAUAGUAGGGGGGGAUAAAUAUUUAACAAAAAUAUUUUAGAAAAACAAGGUGAGAGCAAGUAGAAUACGUCAAUGAGAUAAUAACCUUGUAGAGGUCAUCUGUCUGAUUUGUUUGUGAUAUGGAAAGAACAAUGUCAGCUGUUCUUUCUCCUGGAAACGUUGUUCAUGUUACUUUGUAAAAUGCGUGUUGAUCUGUACGGACUAGUAAAGUCUAGUUCUUAACUCGGUGGUGACAACUGGUGUGCAUUUAUAGACAAUCUUGAUAUGGUUCAAAUUUAUAGACGAGCCCAUCUCUUUCUCCUCCUCGUCAUUAUCAUUUCUGUUUAUGUCGUGACGGAUAUUAACUUCAUUUGUCGUGUUAGGGUGAGACACGAAACACGUUGAUUGAGAUAGACCCACCUUUUUCUCCUCCUCCUCCUCCUCCUCCUCGUUUAUGUUUCUAUCAUGACCGAUGUUAACUUCAUUUGUUGUGUUAAGCUGAGACACGAGACACAUAGAUUGAGAUAGACCUACCUCUUUCUCCUCAUCGUCGUCAUCAUUUAUGUUUCUGCCGUGACGGAUAUUAGCUUCAUUUGUAGUUUUAGGGCGAAACAUGAGAGUUUGUCAUGUUAGGGUGAGACAUGAGACUUUGUCUUGUUAUGGCGCGAGACACGAGACACAUUAAUUGCAAUAGACCACGUAUUUCUCCUCCUCGUCAUCAUCGUUAUGUUUCUGUCGCAACAAAUAUUUUGUCGCAUUAGGGUGAGACACGAGACAGUUUGAUUUUGGUGUGUUAUUUGAUGUUUUCUCGCAUGUGAUCUGUGUAUUUGUCGUUUUAUUGUUUGUCUAGUAUAUCUUUCUUCAUGUGUAUUUGUCGUUUUAUUGUUUUAUCUAGCAUAUCUUUCUUCAUGAGUUUUAUACAUUAAUGCAUUAAGAUAUCUUGAGUGGACGGUUAUAUGUAAUGUACCGAACUUUUCCAGAAGAAUAGUGACAUUUGUGGAACGGCAGCCCAGUGUUCUGGAUGGCGAAAGGCAACAAAGGGUGACGAGGCUCUGCCUGGUCACACGGCAAGGCGAGUGCCUUUUGGAAAUGCGGCGACAAUUAAUACCAAAAAAAUAAAAUAUUUAAUUGCAUACAUAAACAAUCAAAAUCUCAUUAGCAAAAGCAAAUAUUUAAGACAAAACUAAAAAUAGAUGGUAGAUACUAAAACUAUAAAAAUUUCUUCUUCUUCAAGAUUACGAUAUUAAUUAGUACUAUAUUAUAUAAAUUAUGUAAUUUAUAAAUUAAAAAACCAGAAUUUUUACUCAAAGUCAUAGAGAGUGAGUCCACUGUUUUUGACUCUUUGUGAAAUCUGGGAAAAAAUAAAAACAGAGGAAGAAGAAGAAGAAACACAGAGGAGAAAAUCAGCGGAAGAAGAAAGUAGAAGAAAAGAAUCAAGAAGAAAUCCAUGGAGAAAUAAGAAGAAAGGAAGCGAAAAAAAUAGAGAACCGACUUAGUACUUACCAGUUGCCACUGCCGGAGCCACUCACCGAGUCGCCUUAGUUGCCUAAGACAUAGUCGCCUCUCAAGUCUCAGUGGUAACAAUGAAACAACAACAACAACAAACCCAGUGUAUUCCCACAUAGUGAGGUCUGGGGAGUGUAAGAUGUACGCAGUCCAUACCUCUACCUCUACAGAAGUAGAAAGGCUGUUUCCGAUAGACCCCCGGCUUGAGACACGGAAUACUAUGUGGCAUGGGAUGCGUAAAAACCUAAAAUUGAAGUAUGACAAACACCUCAGUUCAUAAUUGUAUUAGUGAAAUUGUAGUAGUAGGAGUCUCUGGCAUGUCGGUGAGGAGGACAUGGAUGAACUUCCAGGGACUAUGGGUACUAGUGCUAGCCUGGCUUUGAGAUUAGGACAAGCUGCUUUCUCCGUUGCUUCACU